CUCUCUCAGUCGCUACAUUGGCUAUCCGUAUGAUAUAGGGUUCAAUUCAAGAUCCUGGUACUUGCUUACAAAUCUCUGAUCCAACCUACCUAUCCUCACUAAUACACAAAUAUAUCUUGUGUAGGCCCUACGCUCUGUCGAAGAGCUACAUCUAACCUUUGUUCAUACUCCUACCUCUGAUGCUCGCCUUAAAGACUUCUCUAGGGCUGCACUAUUCCUAU